ACUGCUCAGUAACACGUGGAUAACCUGCCCUAAGGAAGGGGAUAAUCUCGGGAAACUGAGGAUAAUACCCUAUAGGUUACAGACGCUGGAAUGCCCUGUAACCGAAAGUUCCGGCGCCUUAGGAUGGAUCUGCGGCCGAUUAGGUUGUUGUUGGGGUAACGGCCCAACAAGCCGAUAAUCGGUACGGGUUGUGGGAGCAAGAGCCCGGAGUUGGAUUCUGAGACAUGAAUCCAGGCCCUACGGGGCGCAGCAGGCGCGAAAACUUUACAAUGCGGGAAACCGUGAUAAGGGAACCCCGAGUGCCUGUAUAUGCAGGCUGUCCAGGUGUCUAAAAAACACCUGAAGAAAGGGCCGGGCAAGACCGGUGCCAGCCGCCGCGGUAAUACCGGCGGCUCGAGUGGUGGCCACUUUUAUUGGGCUUAAAGCGUUCGUAGCUGGGUUGUUAAGUCUCUUGGGAAAUCUGACGGCUCAACCGUCAGGCGUCCAAGGGAUACUGGCAAUCUUGGAACCGGGAGAGGUGGGGGGUACUUCGGGGGUAGGAGUGAAAUCCUGUAAUCCUCGAGGGACCACCUGUGGCGAAGGCGCCUCACCAGAACGGCUUCGACAGUGAGGGACGAAAGCUGGGGGAGCAAACCGGAUUAGAUACCCGGGUAGUCCCAGCCGUAAACGAUGCGCGUUAGGUGUAUCGGUGACCACGAGUCACCGAGGUGCCGAAGGGAAACCGUGAAACGUGCCGCCUGGGAAGUACGGUCGCAAGGCUGAAACUUAAAGGAAUUGGCGGGGGAGCAC
rnacentral:rRNA from 1 species